rnacentral:rRNA from 1 species
CUACGGGAGGCUCCAGUGAGGAAUUUUGCGCAAUGGGGGCAACCCUGACGCAGCAACGCCGCGUGAGUGAAGAAGGCCUUUGGGUCGUAAAGCUCUGUCGACAGGGAAGAAGUUAUUGUUGUUUAACAGAUGACAGUAUUGACGGUACCUGUAGAGGAAGCACCGGCUAACUCCGUGCCAGCAGCCGCGGUAAUACGGGGGGUGCAAGCGUUAUUCGGAAUUAUUGGGCGUAAAGGGCGCGUAGGCGGUCUUGUCAGUCAGAUGUGAAAGCCCAGGGCUCAACCCUGGACGUGCAUUUGAAACAGCAAGACUUGAGUACGGGAGAGGAAAGCGGAAUUCCUGGUGUAGGGGUGACAUUCGUAGAUAUCAGGAGGAACACCGAUGGCGAAGGCAGCUUUCUGGACCGAUACUGACGCUGAGGCGCGAAGGUGUGGGUAGCGAACGGGAUUAGAUACCCUAGUAGUC